GAAAUAACAAAACUGGGAGUAAGCUUCUAACUUAACUCAUAAGCGACGAAAUUCGUUUGUAUUUCU
rnacentral:tRNA from 1 species